GUAUCUAUCCUCGCAAUUCCUUCCAUUAUUCCUACUGUUCUUGUAUUCAAUCUUAAUUUUCCUUUAUCAGGUUGUGGCAUGACGCACAGAAUCAUGUUUAUCUCAUCAAAGAACUCGAUAGAAUCACCGGCCAGGGAAAAUCUGCUAUAUCAGUGGAUGAUACAUUGAAGAUCAUAGCCUGCAGGGAACAACAUAAGAAGCUUGAUGCACUUAAGGUGGAACUUGAUGCUUCUAAACAAGAGGGUUUUGUUUCAAAGGGCUUCAGUGAGAGCAAUGGGACUUACUCUAAGAGAAGGCCUUUGGUAGUCAUAGGUAUACUAACAAAGUUUGGCCGCCGGAAGAAUAGAGAUGCCAUUCGCAAGGAAGAAUAACUGCGAUUUUGAAGAGGAUAAAGACAUAGAAAUGUUGGCAAAACAAAAAUCAAAGAAAAAGAAAACUUAUA